ACUCCUACGGGAGGCAGCAGUGGGGAAUCUUGGACAAUGGGCGCAAGCCUGAUCCAGCCAUGCCGCGUGAGCGAUGAAGGCCUUAGGGUCGUAAAACUCUUUCGCCAGGGAUGAUAAUGACAGUACCUGGUAAAGAAACCCCGGCUAACUCCGUGCCAGCAGCCGCGGUAAUACGGAGGGGUUAGCGUUGUUCGGAAUUACUGGGGCGUAAAGCGCGCGUAGGCGGAUUAGUUAGUCAGAGGUGAAAUCCCGGGGCUCAACCCCGGAACUGCCUUUGAUACUGCUAGUCUUGAGUUCGAGAGAGGUGAGUGGAAUUCCGAGUGUAGAGGUGAAAUUCGUAGAUAUUCGGAGGAACACCAGUGGCGAAGGCGGCUCACUGGCUCGAUACUGACGCUGAGGUGCGAAAGUGUGGGGAGCAAACAGGAUUAGAUACCCUGGUAGCUACGAG
rnacentral:rRNA from 1 species